AAUCAACGCUGGCGGCGUGCCUCAGACAUGCAAGUCGAACGAUUAAGACUUCCUUCGGGAAGUGCAUAAAGUGGCGCACGGGUGAGUAACACGUAAGUAAUCUACCCUCGAGUGGGGAAUAACAUCGGGAAACCGAUGCUAAUACCGCAUAACGCAGCGGCACCGCAAGGUGACAGUUGUUAAAGGAGUAAUUCGCUUGAGGAGGAGCUUGCGGCAGAUUAGCUAGUUGGUAAGGUAACGGCUUACCAAGGCUACGAUCUGUAUCCGGUCUAAGAGGACGGUCGGACACACUGACACUGAAUAACGGGUCAGACUCCUACGGGAGGCAGCAGUCGGGAAUUUUGGGCAAUGGGCGAAAGCCUGACCCAGCAACGCCGCGUGAAGGAUGAAGUAUUUCGGUAUGUAAACUUCGAAAGAAUGGGAAGAAUAAAUGACGGUACCAUUUAUAAGCUCCGGCUAACUACGUGCCAGCCGCCGCAGUAAAAC
rnacentral:rRNA from 1 species